ensembl:lncRNA
GAUUAUUUAAAUAGCCUAGCUUCUGUUGAGAAGACACCCUGUCUUGACAGAAAGUGCGAUUUAAAUCAGUGUCUCUCCUAUGAGAUACCAGAGAUAUCCAAGCUUCAAACAGAAAUCACUGUAGCUGUUUUUUAGACAGUCAGUGAAGAAUUCAAGGCCAGGUUGAAUGGAGCCCUGGGUAACCUGAUCUCAUGGGGGCCAACCCUGUCCAUGGUAGAGGGGUUGGAACUAGAUGAUCUUUAAAGUCCCUUCCAACCUAAGCCACUCCACGUUUCUCCUCUAAGCAGUCAAGCAUGUCUGAAGUGAAAGGUCUUUUGGAAGAUCUUCUCUUUCUGUUGACUUUCAGGAUCUUGAAGCCUUGCCUUUCUGUAUUGAUGCUUGAGAGAGGGAUUCUUCUGUGCAAGCUCUGUUCAUGUCCUUGGCAUCUGCAAGCUGCAACAUUGCCGAAUUCUACUUCUCACGGAGCUGCGUUAUGAAUAGCUACUACAACCUGGAAAUUUUUGAUGUGAAUUCCAGAUGGUUGCUAAGCCUGAAGCAUUAAGCAUCAUAACCAAAGGCCACAGCCUUAAUGUGUGGAGGAAAGAAAGAAGUGACAGGAAAAACCUAGAAAUGAGGGCUGGAGGGGAAGGAAAGGACUUAGAGAAGUCUUUAUCUCUGACUUGUUAUGGAAUCAGAACCGUACUAAGGCAUUGGAAACAGCAGGAGUGGGAAAACUUCACAAGGUCUAAGAAAAUGGUGGAAACUGUGCUUCCUACUCCUAAUUUUUCUCCGGGUAUCCUGCUUGAAUUAUGCUUCCUGACCUGUUCCACAAGAAAGAUGCUGGAAGGAGGUGAUGAUAAACAGAACCUGUUCUCACGUUUAUAGUUUCAUCAGUUAUGUGUGGUUUUAGCAUAUGCUUCUAGAUUCCUUGACUUGAAAGUCCAUGCUGUUGUAAUUCAGUAGCUGUGUUGUAACACCAUCUGAAGGUAGAUUAACAGUUUUUUGUUUCAGCUAAUUGAGCAUUUUAAAUUUUAAGUACAAUUUUAUAUCAUUAUUUAGGUUGGGGCCUUCUACCUUUGAUAGUUCAGAAUACAUGCAUUUACCCAGUAACCUCUGUGCACUUUCUCUACACACUAUUCUUACGCAAAUAGCAAAUGCUGUUAUUUAAUAAUGUUCAGUGAAUACAACGGUUGGCAUAAUAUGCGUGUAAGCUAGUAAAUGUUGUAAAACUGGAAAAAAAAAAAACCUGCAGCCAUUAUGACUGCAUUUUUGCAUAAUGUUUUUGUCAUUGGGAAAGCUAGUGAGAGACAAAAUUCCUCAAGAUGUAGCAGCUGGCAAGGUCUCCAUGGUUACAUUGGCAAGAAAUGUGGGAAAGUACCAAAAGUAGUUUAUUGCUCAACAGUAAAACAUCAUUGGGGAAUACUCCUUGAAUCAUCUGAGGAAACGUCUUAAAGAAAAGCUUUAAUUAAAAAAGGAGAGAGAGAAGGUCUGUUUAUGGAAAAAUGCUUAAAACUGAAUACAAGUAAUGACAAAGAUGUGUCUGGGACAUCUUUAAUCACAGGUUUGCAACUGAGCAGUGAUCUGACUGCAAUUUUUAGACGAGGUGUUGUUUCUACUUAUUUCAUGGAUUUGUGUGGCCUGACAUGAUCAGGGAAAUAAUCUUGUCUGAACCUGAGCAAAUAGUCACUGGGAUGCUAAUCAUCCAGAUAAGAUUGUUCUUUUAUGUAUCAUGG